GGCGUAGCUCAAUGGAUCAGAGUAGCGGACUUCUAAUCCGUCGGUUAAGGGUUCGAAUCCCUUCGUCUG
rnacentral:tRNA from 1 species